rnacentral:rRNA from 1 species
GAUGAACGCUGGCGGCGUGCCUAAUACAUGCAAGUCGAGCGAAUGGAUUAAGAGCUUGCUCUUAUGAAGUUAGCGGCGGACGGGCGAGUAACACGUGGGUAACCUGCCCAUAAGACUGGGAUAACUCCGGGAAACCGGGGCUAAUACCGGAUAACAUUUUGAACCGCAAGGUUCGAAAUUGAAAGGCGGCUUCGGCUGUCACUUAUGGAUGGACCCGCGUCGCAUUAGCUAGUUGGUGAGGUAACGGCUCACCAAGGCAACGAUGCGUAGCCGACCUGAGAGGGUGAUCGGCCACACUGGGACUGAGACACGGCCCAGACUCCUACGGGAGGCAGCAGUAGGGAAUCUUCCGCAAUGGACGAAAGUCUGACGGAGCAACGCCGCGUGAGUGAUGAAGGCUUUCGGGUCGUAAAACUCUGUUGUUAGGGAAGAACAAGUGCUAGUUGAAUAAGCUGGCACCUUGACGGUACCUAACCAGAAAGCCACGGCUAACUACGUGCCAGCCGCCGCGGUAA